CACAAGCACAAGUUGCAAAAAAAGGGACUCCACAGAUAUUUUCAAUGGCAUUUUGGACUCACAAGCACAAGUUGCAAAAAAAGGGACUCCACAGAUAUUUUCAAUGGCAUUUUGGACUCACAAGCACAAGUUGCAAAAAAAGGGACUCCACAGAUAUUUUCAAUGGCCACGUAUCCAAAGCUUUAUUCUAUUUUAGUCAAAUUUGUGAAAUAACGAGGGGAGAAAAAGAAAAGAAUCAGUUAUCAAGAGCUGUUUCCUGUGCCCUGUUUCUGGCUGGUUAAUGACUAAGUCAGUAGUCAUCGUCUCUAUACAUUAGAAACACCGUGUACUUGGAUAAAACACUACACUCUCUAGUAGAGAAUUUUAGUCUAAGUGCUCAUUGGCAGCUUACCUCCCCAAACUAGAAACCUCAUAUGGUCAUGUAGGUAAGAGACAGGAAGAUCAGUGAGGCAAGAGGGAAAAGAGGAAACAGUAUACCGAUGUAGUAAGAGUUGCAGUGAUUUCUGCAGCAGAGAGAGGAACAUUCAGCAGCGGGGUGGUGUCAUGGCCUGGAGAAGAAGCUACAGCAGCAGAUGCAGAUGGAAUCUUUGAGAAACCCAGGGGAGUGUUCACUAACAGGCCAUUAGACUGGAGCGGUGAUUACUGUCUUUUUACCAAAAUAACGUGUGCCUUCUCCGUUUUUUUUCCAACCGUGCCCUGCUUCCCCCUCAAAGUAUUUUGAAAACUCUUGGUAUUUUUGAUGGAAAGAGAACGUACAAGUCAAGAAGAGACUGGAAAUCCCUGGAAAGAAAAUGGAACCCAAGGAAGAAGACUGUGAAGCAGACAGGUUUGGCCUAAUUAAAAACAAAUAUUUCAGAUAAAUGAAAAAAAAAAAAAAAUCAGAGUAAAUUCAGUUCUUUGGACUCAAAUAUUUCUCCUAGCUCAUCCCAUGGACUCUUGAGUUGAAUUCCAUGGAUGGGGAUAUCGUUAGCACCAAAUGGAGGAGUCAUUUUCACUAAAACUCAGUGGGCCUGUGGCCAGACAACAGUGUUGAAUUUCCAGAGAUGCAGAGAAUAACUAAGCAGGGGAGAAAAACCUUCUCUGAGCUUUGUUUAGAGCACGUCAGUGCUGUAGGUGCGGAAGAUUCCAGCGUCCAUGAGGCACCUUUGGUACUUGUCUGCCUCAGCACAUCAACAGCAGCCUUGGAGAUGGCAGAAGUGCUCAUUGUAGCAUCCAGGAUCAUGGCUCAGUCUCACAUGGGCAAGAUGGCUGCAGAAGCUCCAUACCUCGUCUCCUUCCAUGUUCAAGUCCAAUGAGAAAAACAAAGUCAUCUUCCAAGGAUUACCAACAUAAGUCUCAUCAUGUUAAUUGGCCCUGACUGAGUAAUGUAUAUCAGUGUGAAUGAAUUAUUAUAUUCAGAAGAAAGUGUUACAUUCUUUGCCCUCAGUUUUCUCAUCUUUAAAAUGAGGCUACUACUUUCAUGUCCAAAAGAGCAUGACAUUAAGGACCAAAUAAAAAACAUCAUGACCUGUCCGGAGAGAGAUUGCUUAAGAAAGGAAAAGCGUUCUUUCUCCUUUUUAAACAAGGUUUUCUGCAUUUUUAUUUUGCACCAGGCCCUCAAAUUAUGUACUUAUACUUACAAGGUAGUUGUAAAAACUAAAUAAAUUAAUGAAAGUAAAACAUUGAGAAUAGCGUUUGGCACAUAAAAAACAGUAAAUGCAAUUAUUACUCUUAUCAUAAAAUAUCCAAGGCCUUCUUAAAGCAUACAUCUGAUUGCAAUGUUCUCAGAUUACAAUUGUCAGCCUUAAUUAGGCUAGUUUGUUUUUCUCAGGUCACUUUAAAUAAGAAUUUAUCACUGUGACUAAGAGCUUGCCUGUUAACCAGAGAUAGGCAGUUGGAAUCCACCAGCUGCUCCUUGGAAACCAUAUGGGGGCAGCUCUACUUUGUCUUAGAGGGUUGCUUUGAGCCUGAAUUGACUUCAUGGCAACAGGUUUCAGUUUUUUGUUUUUUUUUUUAAUUAUUAUUAUGUAUUUGAGAAAAGGGAUGUUGGUUGCAAAACGAAUUUUAUUUUUUCUUCAAUAUCCAACAGUCAAGCCAGCUGUUUUAAUUGAGACUACCAAUGGGAAGCUACUUAAUGAGGUUGCUUAUCGUUUAAUAAUGUGUGCAGCAUACAUUAUUUGCCUUAAUGUCAUUCCUGAGGCAUUUCCCUGUGUUUCAGAAUAUAAGCAGUGAAAAAAAAGAAUACAGUGUGAUUCCAUAUUCCCACAACACCUAGUGAGAAAUAAUAUGCUUCCUCGAAUGUGGUUCUGUCAUUUAUUUUAUUUUGAAUCCCUUCACAGGAAACCUCUUCAAGUACUUAUUUACUUAUUACAUAUAUGCUAAAGACCCCAAUAAUUCCAGCACACAAUUGAUUUCAGUCUGAAUCCUUAUUACACCUGUCAAAGUGCUAGGAAUGAAAAAGUUAGAACGAGCUUUAGGAAGCAUUAAGGAGUCAAGCUUUCAGGAGAAAUAAUUUAACUAUUUAUGGAAACAUGUUCCAGUGAAUGAUGCACAAAUACAGUACAACUAUCAAAAGGUUUGGAGGUUAGAUAAGUGAGUGUGUCACAGGGACAAGGGGAAGUAAGCAGUUAAUCAGCUCUAUAAACAUGGCACUGAAAAUCCAUUGACUUUUUAGAACUUAAAUCACUAAUUUCCCUUAUGAUAGCUGUUGAGUUCUAGAAUUUGUUAUGCUGGAACCAAAGCAUGAACUGGUUGGUUUUCUUUUUUUGGUUCAUUUUGUGGCAGGUCAUGGACUUGGUGACUGAGAAAAUUCCAUGCGCGAUAUUUCAUAUUACACUGGCAAUUAUGCUAUGAUUAUUUUUAAGGGGAAUUUUUUUCAAUUAGUAUAUUAGCUAUUUUGUAUGUUCUGAUUGUCUUACUUUGCCUAUGUUGUUGAUUUAAAGUUACUCUUCAGAUUUUCUUCAAGUGUGUUUUAUUUCCUAGCUAGGUUGUAAGCUUCUGGAACGCAAAAACAAAUGUCAUUUUCUUUUCUCUCUACUGUGGUAAAUAUAGCACUGAAGAUUGUAGGUCAAAGACUGCUUCAUUGAGAACAUGAACUUUUAUAUGACAUGGAUCAAAUACCCAAUAAUGCCCAUGUGAGGGAAAUAGAAGGAACCCUGUUAUGUGCUUGGCAUAUCCUACUGAAUUAGAAUUCAUUACUUUUCUUCAUGCUUCCUUUUUUUUAAUGAUAGUCAUUUUCAUAUUCUCUGAUAAAUACCCAGUUGUACCUCUCAUCAAAUAAAAGUAUUAAAUUUUCCAUUAUUUUAAUCGUUAGAAAUAAAUUACUAAGCACUAUUAACACUAAUUCUUUAUAAAGGAGUCUAACACUCUUCAGAGAAAAGUUCCUUGCUCAUCUUUUUUCUUAAAACCCAGUCAGAUGUCUGAGAAUCCUCGUUUUAGAAGGAGAAAGAUCUUUUCAUUUGUUUUCUUCUUUUGCAGUAUAGCCGAGUAAUUAAGACCAGGUGCUCUUGGAGCCAGGCAGACCUGGCUCAAAAUCUGAUUUGACCACAUAUUAGCUGUGAAAAGGGGUGAGUUACUUAAUCUAAGUAUGUCUUUGCCCCCAAAUUACCAUAAUAAAUUAAUUUUCUUGUGUGCUUGUGGGUGCGUUUGCUUUAAUGAAACAAUGGAAGUGGUAUGUAGAGCACAGCCUUGGUCAGAUAAUAAAUGGCUCAGGAAAUUAUUGCUGAUCCUAUUUGAUCACAGUUGGCAGAAGACUGAGUACAGUGUUUUACUUUCUCAGUAAGGAGGAAUGAACAUGUAACAGAGCUUUAGCUCGUGAUUUUGCAAGAACUAGAAAAUGAAACAAGCAGACAGUUACAGAAAGUAGAUUAUUUUCUAAAAAAUAUUG